GUUUUUACUCUAUAAUUUCUUUUCCAUUCCUUUAGGCUGGCAUAGAUAUCACGACGCCUACCCUGGUCUGCUGCCAUGACUCCCUGCAGAUGUCCUGGUGUCUUGCUCCUGCUGGUUUCCCUCGCUAUGUUCAAAGACGCGGCGGAGCAAACGGGCCGGUGCGCGGGAGUGGAGGGCAAGGAGACGGUGACCUAUCACUUGAUGCCACGAGGAAUGCCAGACAACAAGACCCACCUCAUAUUGGAAGCCUUGGACCAGGUCAUCGUCAAGCUCUUCCAGGAGGGUAAAGUGGAUCCUCGUGCUUUUGCGGGCGUCGUGUUUCCUGAUGAGAGACUGAAAGCACGGGAACCUGCGCCGCCAGUGAGUGGGUUUACCAGCACCACCAUCGGCUUGUUUCCAGAAAGCAGUUCAGGACAACAUUCACAUUACACCUCUGGUUUGAACUUUACUUCCCUCUUCAGUCCCGUACCGAUUUCCUUGAGUCCCGUCCCCACCUUCCCGUUUUCUUUGCUCCCUGCUGUAAGCCCCCCCACUUCCUCCCUCUUCCGUCCCACCAGUCGCCCUCCCAAACUCCCCAUGCGGAACACCCCAAACUUCCUCGCAGCGGCCAAGAUAGAUUCCUUCACCCUCUGCCUGUGGUUCUUCAUGACCUAUAUCGGGAACUUCGCCGUCGUGCUGAGCUACAGGACUCACAUGGAGGGCUCAGACACCCUCUCACUAGGGCCGCAACACAGCAUCUUCGUCAUGGAGUACAUGAACGUCACGGGCUGGGAGUUGGAGGGCCACGUGGAGCCCCAGCGGUGGCACUCUGCUUGCAUCAUGAGGAACGGCACAGCCCGCCGGGCCUCACUCUUCCUGGACGGCGCUAAACGCCUCGACAUGGACGCCCCUGAGCAGCUUUAUCUGAAUGGCACGCUCGUGUUAGGUAACGACCAAGAUUAUGUAGGCGGAGGCUUCAGCACGGCACAGAGCGCUCCUGGCCUGGUGACAGGCGUGUACUUGUGGACCAGGAUGCUGUCCCUCACAGAAGUGCGCGAAGUAGGGAACUGUGCUCCCCCUGAGGCGGCCCUGCUUGCCUGGGAUGUCACUCCGUGGAGGAUGGUGGGAGACGUGCUGAGGGAGCGCGUCAAUCCCUGCCAGGAAAACAAUACACACACGCGCUUCCUGCUGCCCAUAAAAUUGAACGUUCAAAAGGCGCGAUGGUUCUGCUCGGGUCACGGUCUCGCCUUUCCCUUCCCUACAUCUAAGGCAGAAAAUGACGAAAUAGUAUCUUUCAUCAACAUGAACCUGACGAGCUGUAGCACUAAAUAUUACAGUGGUACGUCAGCUUGGCUGGAUAUAGUCUACGACAUAGUCAGGCAACGGUGGAUCGGGGGACCAGACCGCCAACCCAUCAGUUUUUCCGCCAUACGGGAAAUAAGUAUCAAGGACAGACUCUCUAUGGUCGUGGAUUCCACCGGGGAGUGGGUGUUUGAGGAUGAGUCGUGUACAGUAUGCCAAGGCACCGACAUCCACCCACAAGUGUACAUUCACGGGCUGUGCCACAAAGAGGAGCUCACGGAGCACUACAGCACCCUGUAUCCGCGCUCUGAUAAACGAGGAAUUUAUUACCUGCAGAGCUUUUCAGGGCUCCGCCUGCACCACGAGUCUGGCUACAGCUGGGUUCUUUACCAUGUGCCCACAAACACUCCUAUAGCUCAGGACAAUUCUGCUGAAUUUUUCUGGGGUCGCAAAGAGUGGCAGCUGAACGGGACGGCGGCGGUGUGUGGCCCACAACGGCAGCUCUUCGGGCCCCACAACCUGACCAUCAGCUGGUGCCGCCCCGGGAGUUUCACGUGCACCUCGGGGGAAUGCGUGCCUCUGACGGCUCGCUGCUCUCUCGACCCGGAGUGUGAGGACGAGAGCGAUGAGAUGGAUUGCCAAUUAGUGCACACCCCUGACGACUACCAGACCUACUUGGCUCCUUACACGCCUAUCCUUCCUCUUAACUACACUAUCGUUCUCAAUAAGUUGUGGUCGGUGGACUUGAUGGGACAGCUGGUGCAUGUCACCUUCCACGUCAACCUGCGCUGGAGGGACCGCCGCCUCACCUUCUAUAACCUGCAGGACAACCCAAGCCUCAAUGUCAUUUCCGUAACUCAUUCCCGUUUUCGGACUCCAUUCGGCCCCUUCCACGGUCCCGUCUGGCAUCCACAAGUGCAGGUAAGAUGGCGGAGGACAGGGAGGAAGGCACACCGUCCAUAGGCACUGGUUCUGACACUCGUGUGCCACAGAUAAGAUGGUGGGGGCAGUGAGGGAGGCACACCGUCCAUGGGCACUGCUUCUGACGCUCGUGUGUCACAGGUGCAAGAUGACGAGCGGCUGGCGGGGGAGGUGGAUCCGCACGUGCAGCUCUUCGUCAGGAAGAUGUCCCCCGGAGUGGACGUCAUGACCGACUACGUGUACAAGGGAGCCGAAAACGAUCUGGAAUAUUCACUUGAGUUCGAAUCCAACGUGCACUGCGAGCUCAACCUGGCGAUGUACCCGUUCGACUCCCAGCGGUGCUCCAUCACGGUGACCAUUACCAACGUGAUCAACCAGGCGGUGCAGUACCCGUCCCUGCCUCUCCACCACGCCCAUCCCGCCCUCCCGCCGCACCCUGAAUUCACCAUCACAACCCUAACACUCAGGUCGGAUGGCAUACCACCCAAGAGUUUUAUAAAUUGCAUAGCCAACUGUACUUGUGAAUUAUGUACUUACUGGGAGGAAAAACACUCAAUUCGUGCCCGGACGUUACUCUCUCAAACGUAAGAGAAUAAGGAGAUUGCACAUGGCCAGUUCACCUACACAAGGCAGCUUCUGAGACUGAUCUCUUCAGGGAGGAAAAAAUGCCAGUCACGUUGCUAUUAUAAUGGACUUAAUUUAU